rnacentral:misc_RNA from 1 species
AAAGUCGUAACAAGGUCUCCGUAGGUGAACCUGCGGAGGGAUCAUUAACGAAUGGUCUUGGUACCUUCAAAACCCCUCAAACCUGUGGACAUUAAAAAUGUGCUUCGGCGCUCCGGCGCCGUUUUUAUGCCGUAACUCUGUCGUUUGUGUCUGAAUACAAAAGCAAAAGAAUUAAAACUUUCAACAAAGGAUCUCUUGGCUCUC